CAGACACCAUGCAGCAAAUCCAUAAUCUCCCUGGGAACAUGUCGUGUGAACAAUUCAUGCUCUGUCUUGGAGCCACCUUCUUGGAAGGCUUCCAGAACACAGGAAGCAGCUGUUGUGAUGAACAGAACAGCUCUGAUCCCAGCACCUCUGGACCUGUCCACCUCAGCCUACAUACUUCAGUUGCCUUAGAACUAGUCCUGACUUGUGGAGGGUGGCACAGGGAAGCUGAAAGCUAGAUAGGACUGUCCCGUUGUAUCAGUUAGGGAAGGCUACUUCUUGUAACUAACAGACCUCUUGUAACAGUGUGCAAUCACCCCAGACAUUUAUUUUCUUGUCCAGAUAAUACUUCUGGACAGGGGCAGAGGUUGGCGGGGGGCAACUCUCUUCUGCACAGUCCUUCAGGGUCUUGGACUGGCAGAGGCUCUGCAUCAUCACCAGAUCGCUAGUCACUUCCAAAGUUGCCCAAGGUCACCGUCAUUCCAGCCAGCCAGAAGAGGAUGAGCGCAUGCAGGCAUGCAUGGGAGAUUUUUGAGACCAGGUCUGGAAGUGGCCCACGUUGCUUCCUCUCAGAUCCCUUGGGUAGCCACAUGGCCACUCCUAGUUGCAAGGGCAGCCAGGCGAUGUGUGCCUGGGAAGAAGUUAAGAAUGAGGACUUGGUUAACUUCUCUGAGCCUCAGUUUCCUCAUUUGUGAAAUACUCUACUGAUUGCCUCUUAAAGUCAAUUGGUAAAAAUCUCUGCCGGAACCCACCAUGGGCAGGUCUGACAACUUUUCAUAGUGUCCUUUUCCCAGGGUCAGACCUCCCUACCCCACAAAAAGCCACUCUGAAGAUAAAGGAGAGCUGGUCCUUCUUCCAUUUUUCCCUCCUACCUGGUUCUUGGCUCUUGCCUUUCUCAUACUAGCCGCCAAGAGUGAAGCCACUUCAUCUCACAGGAGCUUCAGUAGUUCACUUACUGGCUGGUUGCUUGGGAACUUUGAAUGCAUUUCUCCAUUUAUAAAAGCAGCUGUAGGUGGGGUGGUUCUGUCCCCACUGAGGCCCUGCCCCCAUCUUCUGGCCCAAGGUCACUCUAAGGAGUUGACUGGCUGGAGGUGCCAGCACCUGGGCAGUUCCCAAGGCAGCAUCUGAGAAGGCUCACAGAGAGCAGGGGCGGGGUUCAGGAGCCCCAGAGGCUUUGUGAGUGGCUGGUUCCCAUGGCAAUCAUGGGGUGGCCUCCAGAGCAGCCAGGAACUAGUAGCCCUGGCUAGAAGCUGAUGGUAAAUUCAGGGCUUCUAAGUAAGCCUGGAACUGCCUGUGGUUGCAA
rnacentral:lncRNA from 1 species